rnacentral:lncRNA from 1 species
CCCAUCCUCUUGUUCACUUGGAACAGCAGUUUACAGUUACCUCAGGAUUUGGAAUGAAAAUGGCUUUCUUCUUUCUCACGACUGCAGGAUGGAACUGUGGCUUCCUCCUGGCAAUGGAACUGCAAUGAGUAAAUUUGAACGCAAGUUGAUUUAGUAUGGUUACUCUCGUUUUGAUUCAAUUUAUAGGGUGAACCUGGCCCACCAGGUCAGAUGGGGUCAACUGGUCCUUUGGGUCCCCGUGGAAUGGCAGGAGAAAGAGGACGCAUAGGACCCCAGGGUGCUCCAGUAAGUUACAUUUCCUGGCAUUCUUGUCCAGUCUUUGGCUCUUCCUGUUGCCUUAUAUCUCUCUUGGCCUCAUAGCCCUGGCUUACCCUCUUGCCUUAAAGCCAUAGCAGCUGCCUCUCUUUGGGAGCAGGGGCGGGGGGGGCGUUCUUUGACCCUUCUAAGGCUUUCCCCCCUCCUCCCUAGGACAAAAUAUGUAGCGUAAUAAUCUCAGCAGAUAUAGCAUAUUUAAUUUACUUCUGCUUUGCAUUUAUAAUACAGCUAGUUUGUGGUCUGAGCAGAAGGUGGGGUACUUUACCCCAAAUUUCUGGCAUAAGACCCCCUUCUCAUACCACAAGCUGCCUACAUUAAAUAUGUACCUUUGUGAAAGGCUGCUUCUUGAAAGGAUCACUUUUCUGCCAGACAUCUCUGCAACCCAUCAAGCUUCUAUUUGCUUUGUACAGUGACAGUGUAAACA